GACGAACGCUGGCGGCGUGCUUAACACAUGCAAGUCGUACGGUAAGGCCCUUUCGGGGGUACACGAGUGGCGAACGGGUGAGUAACACGUGAGUAACCUGCCCACAACUUUGGGAUAACGCUAGGAAACUGGUGCUAAUACUGGAUAUGUGCUCCUGCUGCAUGGUGGGGGUUGGAAAGCUCCGGCGGUUGUGGAUGGACUCGCGGCCUAUCAGCUUGUUGGUGGGGUAGUGGCCUACCAAGGCGGCGACGGGUAGCCGGCCUGAGAGGGUGACCGGCCACAUUAGGACUGAGAUACGGAGCAGAAUCCUACGGGAGGCAGCAGUGGAGAAUAUUGCACAAUGGGCGCAAGCCUGAUGCAGCAGCGCCGCGUGCGGGAUGCCGGCCUUCGGGUUGUAAACCGCGUUCAGCAGGGAAGAAGCAUUUUGUGACGGUACCUGCAGAAGAAGCACCGGCUAACUACGUG
rnacentral:rRNA from 1 species